rnacentral:lncRNA from 1 species
UUGGCUACCCUUUCUCAACCUUUUUUAUCUCCUUAUCUUUCUUAAUUCUCUUCCUAAACUUUUAUCCUAAAAUCAGACUUGUUCUUACUAUUUUUGGACUUGUCCUAAUAAGAGAAGAAAGAGACUAAUUGGACAAUAUGGAGAGAAUGUAAGAAAGAAGAGAUCAGGCUUGGAAUGAAAAACAUCGGAGACUUGCACGCUAUUUAUAAUUAGCGUAGAGGUGCUUAUCCAACCGGUGCCACCCAUUCCCCAUGCCCCUUCCUAUUUUUUGAUAUUUAUCCACACCAUUUAAUCUGAUAUUUUGUGAAGAGGUGCCUUCUUUUAGGACUCUUCAUGGCUUGGCGCAGAAAUAAAACAUCGAUGAUUUUCAUCAAAGUUUUUCGAAGAGUUGCGGUGCUUCGCUUUGGCGCCACUCUUCUCCACCCC